AAUGCAUGAUAAGCAUUACAUUUUUUUCUAGUAUACAACUUAUAGUUAUCAAUAAUUCAAUAUCAUACAUUUUAUUUGACAUAAUUUUAAAAUCGACUUCAGACAAACUAAACUACGAUUCAGUCCCAUGUGCGCUGAGCGGAAACGAAUUAUUCAAAACGCCAGCACACGGUUGUUGUCUGAUUGACAUGGCUGAGAAUGAUAUGGGACUCGAGUUCCAUGAAGUUAUACUUGUAACUCUAGCACUCUAGGAUUUUCUCAUGAUUUUCGAUUCUUGACGACUUUUCGCAAUUUCUCGGCACCUUCUUUUAUUUUGAUCUCGCGUCGGACCACCCGCCUAAUGGCUUCCUUCAGCUCGUCCAAUUGAGCAGGAGUUAACUAACGUAUCGAUGGAAGAUAGGUCGGGAAUCGCAUGGUCAUUGUUUUUCACUAAACCGUACUCGAAACCCAAUUCGUAUGGAACGAGAUUGCACGUUUGUUUACACUGAAACUAAUGUAUCAUAAUUAAAUUAAACUAAUAUUUCUUAUUAAAUUAUUAACACAAUAAAAAUAAACAAAUUUUAUUAAAAACAGUAUUUCACUUACUUUCUCAGGAAUGCAGCAUAUUAUCAUAUUACUGAGAAAACGAAAUCCUUUAAAUAAGGUAAAAAUUAACUUAAUCAUAUUGGAUACUGUAUAUAUUACUUAUAUUACUUAUUUUUUUGUAUUUUAUAUACCUAGAUACUAAUAUUGAAGUAUAUAUUUAUGCAUUUUUUAAAAACAAACAGUAGGUGCAUUAAAAAUAAAUUAUAACCGUGAGAUUUUGUCAACGCAAUGUGCGUAAAAGUAAUAGAAAUAAUAUUAUUACAACGGAAAUAUACGCUGUGUAUAUAUAUUGUCUAUGUUUUACCCCUUAAAAGAAAAAUCUAAUUAUAAUUAUUAUUAUGUAUUUUUUAUUACACAAGAUAUUAUUAAUUUAAAUUAUUUUUGUCUAUACGACUGUCUAUAUAAUAGUUUUCUUGUUUUCAAACACAAUGAUAUACAGCAUUUUAUAAGUAUUUUAUUUUAACUAAUAGUAAUUAGUAUUACAUAUUGUAUAACAGUUUAAUUUUCUGUGUAGGAACUCAUCUACUCCAAGUACAGGAUUUAGAAAGGUUUUUGUCAUAUUCAGUUAUUUUGUACAUACUUAUAUUUUCUUGGUUAUAUGAUG